UACGUAGGGUCCGAGCGUUGUCCGGAAUUAUUGGGCGUAAAGGGCUCGUAGGCGGUCUGUUGCGUCGGGAGUGAAAACUUACAGCUUAACUGUGAGCGUGCUUCCGAUACGGGCAGACUAGAGGCAUGCAGGGGAGAACGGAAUUCCUGGUGUAGCGGUGAAAUACGCAGAUAUCAGGAGGAACACCGGUGGCGAAGGCGGCUCUCUGGGGUAUUGCUGACGCUGAGGCACGAAAGCCAGGGGAGCGAACGGG
rnacentral:rRNA from 1 species